rnacentral:rRNA from 1 species
AUUGAACGCUGGCGGCAUGCUUUACACAUGCCAGUCGAACGGCAGCGCGGGCUUCGGCCUGGCGGCGAGUGGCGAACGGGUGAGUAAUGCAUCGGAACGUGCCCAGUAGUGGGGGAUAGCCCGGCGAAAGCGGGAUUAAUACCGCAUACGACCUGAGGGUGAAAGCGGGGGACCGAAAGGCCUCACGCUAUUGGAUCGGCCGAGGUCGGAUUAGCUAGUUGGUGGGGUAAAGGCUUACCAAGGCGACGAUCCGUAGCUGGUCUGAGAGGACGACCAGCCACACUGGGACUGAGACACGGCCCAGACUCCUACGGGAGGCAGCAGUGGGGAAUUUUGGACAAUGGGCGCAACCCUGAUCCAGCCAUGCCGCGUGCGGGAAGAAGGCCUUCGGGUUGUAAACCGCUUUUGUUCGGGAAGAAAUCCUCUGGGCUAAUACCCCGGGGGGAUGACGGUACCGGAAGAAUAAGCACCGGCUAACUACGUG